rnacentral:rRNA from 1 species
AUUGAACGCUGGCGGCAUGCCUUACACAUGCAAGUCGAACGGCAGCACGGGAGCAAUCCUGGUGGCGAGUGGCGAACGGGUGAGUAAUGUAUCGGAACGUGCCCAGUCGUGGGGGAUAACGUAGCGAAAGCUACGCUAAUACCGCAUACGAUCUGCGGAUGAAAGCGGGGGAACGGACGGCCUCGCUCGAUUGGAGCGGCCGAUAUCAGAUUAGGUAGUUGGUGGGGGAAAGGCCUACCAAGCCGACGAUCUGUUGCUGGGUCUGAGAGGACGACCAGCCACACUGGGACUGAGACACGGCCCAGACUCCUACGGGAGGCAGCAGUGGGGAAUUUUGGACAAUGGGCGCAAGCCUGAUCCAGCAAUGCCGCGUGCAGGAUGAAGGCCUUCGGGUUGUAAACUGCUUUUGUACGGAGCGAAAAGGCUCUCUCUAAUACAGGGGGCUCAUGACGGUACCGUAAGAAUAAGCACCGGCUAACUACGUGCCAGCCGCCGCGGUAA